UACAAGCUCAAGUUCUAAGCCCUUGAGCCAGAAUUCAAGGCGCCCCCAUCUGCCCCACUCCAAUUCCCAACUGCCCUCUUUCCACCCGCCCUACAAACUGUUCCAACUGCCCAGCCAGUUCCCAGCCUUCCGAAGACGCCUUGCAGUCUCCCUCUCCUGGGGCCUGCCAGACACACGAAUUAAUCAUCGGUUAUCCCAGUUGCACACCUGUACGGAGAAGAGACCCUGGCAUGCGCAGAGCGAGCCAGCUGAGACUGGGCAAGCAAGAGGGACAGGGACACAGGCCAACAGGAGCCCAGCCUGGUAGUAGCCACGUGGCACCCUCCACUAUCCCGUGCCAGAUGGAGAAAGGAGGGGCAGAGUUGGGUUCCUGCAGGGCCGGCCAUCCAGGUUCUCCAGCCAAGUUACUUCCUGCUGCUCCUCUAGGAGCCCAUGCUGCUGGACAAACCAGCCGAGCCACAGGACAAAUGUAAGACGAAUACUCCAAGAAGAACUAAAUGCAGAAAAAUUAUCACUUCAAACACUUAGACCCAAGUACAGUCCUUCCUACCAAAGGGGAAUGGCCAGUCUGAU
ensembl:lncRNA